AUGCACGCUGGCGGCGUGCCUAAUACAUGCAAGUCGAGCGAACAGACGAGGAGCUUGCUCCUCUGUCGUUAGCGGCGGACGGGUGAGUAACACGUGGAUAACCUACCUAUAAGACUGGGAUAACUUCGGGAAACCGGAGCUAAUACCGGAUAAUAUAUUGAACCGCAUGGUUCAAUAGUGAAAGACGGUUUUGCUGUCACUUAUAGAUGGAUCCGCGCCGCAUUAGCUAGUUGGUAAGGUAACGGCUUACCAAGGCAACGAUGCGUAGCCGACCUGAGAGGGUGAUCGGCCACACUGGAACUGAGACACGGUCCAGACUCCUACGGGAGGCAGCAGUAGGGAAUCUUCCGCAAUGGGCGAAAGCCUGACGGAGCAACGCCGCGUGAGUGAUGAAGGUCUUCGGAUCGUAAAACUCUGUUAUUAGGGAAGAACAAAUGUGUAAGUAACUAUGCACGUCUUGACGGUACCUAAUCAGAAAGCCACGGCUAACUACGUG
rnacentral:rRNA from 1 species